rnacentral:rRNA from 1 species
AUGGGCUUCUGCAAGAGCACCAUGAAGGAUGGCAUCUUCAUCCUCACACUCGGUGGCAGCGAUGAUGGACACAACUACCUCACCGUCCAGUCCCUAACGGACCUCGAGGCAGAACUCAAGGAUAUCCGGACUAACCGGGUGAGAUCGACGAGCAGAGGCCUCAUCACCACCAGCACGGCGGAGCUGUUCUGCGACGGCGAGGACUACAACAAGGCUUCCGCGCCGGUGGCCGGCGAGCUGGCACGCCGCAUGGCCAGGGUUGUGCACGAGCUCUUCAACAUGCCGUUUCCAACGGUCGCCGCCGUCACGGGCGACGUCCGGUCGUCCCUGGCUCUGGCGCUCGUGCUGGCGCACGACGACACGGCGACCAUGAGGGCUGCCAGAUUCGAGGUGAAGGAGGUACGAGACGGUGGCGUCUGCAUGCCGCCGUACGCCGCCGCGCUCCUCCGGGACAAGACGGCCUACCCGCGCGUGAGGUCGUCCAUGGUGCUCCGGUCAGAGACCAUGUUCGGGUCCGACAUGCUCUACUGGGAGGCGUUCGAGUGCACGAUCGACGACAAGGAGGGGGGUGGGGUGGACUUAGCCAGUAGCAUCAUCACUGGUUCUUUCGGCGACGUACACGACGGCCGAGCCUACAUCACCACCCGCAAGAGCUUCUUUCCCGAGUCGUGGAAAGCUGUUUCGGAGUUCCUUGGAGAUGAUCAGUGA